AUGUUUCACGCUUCGAAGGGUGGACAUAUCAGUCCUUCACUCCAUAUAUGUACGACUCUAGACUAAACAACACUUGAAAGUAGUGCUCCAAAGAAUUCAGUUCUUUAUAUAUUACCCCAAUUCACAUCCCAAUGAGCUUGCAACAAUACCAAUCCCAAUCCUACAUAAUUUGUACCAGAAAAUGGUUUAUGUAACCAUCGACAGACGGGCCAACGGAGCGAUCGGACAUGUUUUAGGCCUCUUCUUCAAGAUGCUCACUGCUUGAGUAACUUCUAAGGAUAAAAAUGUCCAGCGACUUUUGAAAGCGACUUUAUCGACCUGAAUUAUCGGUAAAACGGAAUUAUUACCGAAUAAUGUCUCUGUUCAUAAAAAUACGAAUCAACGCAAAAUUCAAAAGAAAAACUGAAACAAGCAAUCCAUGCCCCACAAAGCCCCAGAUGUCAAAUUCGUUGUCGUGUGAGAAUACUGGAAAAAUAUCAGUAUAGUUCGGAGCGUCGGAAGUUAAACACAUAAAAAUAAAAUUCUAAAUUUCUAAAUUUUUGAGAAAUAUUUAUUUCGGUUUUUUUUUUCAAUUAGGUUUAAGCAUAAAAGUGAUUAUUUUUUUUUAGUUUUUAAAGUUAAGUAUAAAGUGUACAACAUAAUUAUACUUCUCCAAGAUACACAAGGCUCAAAAAUACUUCUCCAAGAUACACAAGGCUCAAAAAUACUUCUCCAAGAUACACAAGGCUCAAAAAUACUUCUCCAAGAUACACAUCUGUUGAUUUUUUCACAAGAACCGAAAGCCGAGAGUUCAUAUUCAUAAUUACCUGGCCAAAAACAAACUACAAAACGUAUGGCUUUAAUCUUGGUGGCCCAAGAAGAUACAAUUAUACUUCAUUUGACCGCUUUUCUACACAUACCUACAUAAAUAUGGGCACUCUACUUUCAUAUUCAUAAUUACCCGUCCAAAAAAAAAAACUACAAAACAUACCGCUGUAAGCUGUGGUGGCCCAAGAAGAUACAAAACUACAUAAAUAUGGGCACUCUACGUGCGCAUUCAUAUUUACCUGGCCAAAAACACACUACGCAAACGUACGACUUUAUACAAUCUGAUGGGUCUGGGGGUAGUAGUAGUAGUCGCGAAACAAUACUUUGUUUGGGAUUCGGUGGACUAAACAGUCUUUCAGUUAUCGGAAAUGAAAUACUGGGUUAAUCGGGUACAAGUGCUGAUGAGGAAAUCGACGGCAAUACUAUAUUUUGUUACUAAUAAUUAUAUUACUCGUGAUUAUAUUUUGAUACUAAAAUACACAAAGAUGUUUAAUUAUUUGACUGAACCAGAAUGGGGUAGGACUCUAAAAGUUUCCAGCAAAAUGCUGAUUUACUUUCGGGGACAUGCAUUGAAUAUCCCCAUUCCCCUUUUGGAAAAUUUUCCACAACUAAGAAUUCUUUUCGAUAUACUCGCAGAUGUAUAAAACCCCCCGAGGGCAUGCUAUUAUUCAAGAUUUCAUCUUUAGUUUUACAAAUAUUUCCAGUAAACACAUGUACGUGUGUAUGUAUAUAUGAAUAUGCGACUGGGGCGGGAAGAUGCCAUGGAUGCACAGUUCAUAAAAAUACGAAUCAACGCAAAAUUCAAAAGAAAAACUGAAACAAGCAAUCCAUGCCCCACAAAACCCCAGAUGUCAAAUUCGUCGUCGUGUGAGAAUACUGGAAAAAUAUCAGUAUAGUUCGGAGCGUCGGAAGUUAAACACAUCAAAAUAAAAUUCUAAAUUUCAAAAUUUUGUAAAAUAUUUUUUCGGUUUUUUUUUUUCAAUUAGGUUUAAGCAUAAAAGUCCAUAUUCAUAAAUACCUGGCGAAAAGAAAACUACAAAUCGUACGGCUGUAAACUGUGGCGGCGCAAUGAGGUACAACACGGCUUCUUCGGAUAGUUUUUCUACACAAACCUACAUAAAUACGGGCAUCUGAUGAAUCUGGGGGCUCCGAGUAGAAUCGCAAGUAGAACCAAUACUUUGUUUUGACACUAAGAUUCUGCUAUCGGAAAUUAGAUACUGUGGUUAUCGGGUGAAUGGAUAGGAAUAUUAUAUUUUGCUACUAAUAAUUAUAUUACUCGUGAUUAUAUUUUGAUACUAAAACACACAAA